rnacentral:rRNA from 1 species
UGGGGAAUAUUGCACAAUGGACGGAAGUUUGAUGCAGCGACGCCGCGUGGAGGGUGUAGGCCUUCGGGUUGUGAACUCCUUUUUCUCGCGAAAAAGGCACAGUUUUGGCUGUGUUGAUGGUAGUGGGGGAAGAAGCGCCGGCGAACUACGUGCCAGCAGCCGCGGUAAUACGUAGGGCGCGAGCGUUGUCCGGAUUUAUUGGGCGUAAAGAGCUCGUAGGUGGUUCGUCGCGUCUGUCGUGAAAGCCAGCAGCUUAACUGUUGGUCUGCGGUGGGUACGGGCGGGCUUGAGUGCGGUAGGGGUGACUGGACUUCCUGGUGUAGCGGUGGAAUGCGCAGAUAUCAGGAGGAACACCGAUGGCGAAGGCAGGUCACUGGGCCGUUACUGACACUGAGGGGCGAAAGCGUGGGGAGCGAACAGG